rnacentral:lncRNA from 1 species
AACAAAUUGCUCAAUUCUACUAAGUAAAAUCUCACAGGCUGCAUAUCUCAAAUCAUCAGGGGCUUUCGUGAUUUCAGACCCCAACCAUGCAGUUGCAGCAAGAUAAUCUCGGGAGGUACUUCUUGAUUCGCUCUUAAGUCCUUUCUCUAAAGCAUGGAAUAGAGGACUUCCAAACUUUAAGAAGCGCCUCGCUACUUUGCUACCCCAUGUCUCUAUGCCAAUGUCCUGUUAGUUCAUGGAGUCUUUAGAACAAGUAAACAACUCAUGGGUGCAGUAAUUCCACAAGUGGGGUCUGGGGAGGAUAGAGUGUACGCAGAUCUUACCUUACCCCUACCAAGGGAGGUAGAGAGGUUGUUUCUGGCAGACCCUUGGCUCAAGGAUUUGUAAAAAAAAAUACAUGGUAGCCAAGUUCAGUGCGGACCUUAGUGCCUCUAAGCAAAUAUCAACAGUAUAAACUUCUUCAUGAAGAAGAAUAAAUAAAGAUUAAAAUUAUUAUUUUCGCAUGGUAAUGAAUGGUAGCUCUGGGUGCAUAAAUGCAUAACCAGACAAAACAAUUGAAAUGGAGAGAAUACUGGGUAAUAUUAGAGGGCACCAGGCUAAAUUGGAUCUUGAAAGAAAAAACCACCUGUAGACAUUUAUCCGAAAAGUCAACGUUCUUUAUCAUGUUCUUGUGUGGCAAUGAAGUCAAACCGGCCUUUUUAAGCAACCAUGGUAUUGUGUAGGGUUCUCCUGACCAAGAGAAGGUUCCACCAAGGUUGGAUAGGAUGAACGCUGAUAGAGCCUGUGUUGCAGAAUUCUCUUCACACGACACUGAC